GACAGAGGGUGCAAACGUUGUUCGGAUUUACUGGGCGUAAAGCGCGUGUAGGCGGCUUUGCAAGUCGGAUGUGAAAGCCCACGGCUCAACCGUGGAAGUGCAUCCGAGACUGCAUGGCUGGAGUCUCGGAGAGGAAGGUGGAAUGCUUGGUGUAGAGGUGAAAUUCGUAGAUAUCAAGCAGAACACCUGCGGCGAAGGCGGCCUUCUGGACGAUGACUGACGCUGAGACGCGAAAGCGUGGGGAGCAAACAGG
rnacentral:rRNA from 1 species